CCGCAAGCCCCUGCAAUGGCUUCAGCCUGCAGGCAAUUCGCCAACAGAGCUUCCCUAUCGUCCAUCCGAUCCGCCGUCAGAUCCAGCGUCCCAAAAUCUUCCGCUUCACGCUUCCCUCUCCCCACCGCCUCCUCUCCCUCCUCCGCCCCUCUUCGACGUUUCUCGCUCUCCAGGCCUCCGGGUGCGUUGGGAUGCGUUCAGUCACUACUUCCACUCCACAGCGCGGUGGCGGCGGCGAGGUUGACGUCGUCGCUGAGCACUACAUCGAGGAGCUGCCGAGCGCUCUCACAGGGUACUCUCUGCUGCACCUCUCCCGGCCUCUAAUAAAAAUUUUGCUUUCUUUUCUGCACAUAAUGUCCAUUAUGCUUGAACCUGCUAGUUAAGGCUUGCUGCGUCAUUACCAAAUGGAAUUGAUGGUACGUGAGACAUGUAUGCUGUAUAUGGAGAGCUUGGUCUGUCAGGUCCGAGGUGAUUCGUAGCAGGCUGUCACAGUUACAAGAAGUUACCCUUCACAAGAAUGGAAAAGCAAACAGUUUGUAGUUUUAUUUAUUCAAAACCCUUCUUGAAGCUAAAAUUGAUUUUUCCUAAAGAUAGGAUGCCAGCACUUGUUACAUAAUAAUUCAGUUUGCUUGUUCACUAUGUAUUUAUGAAUCUUUGAUUUCGAAUGUUAAUCCGUGUUCCUUGCCUUC